rnacentral:rRNA from 1 species
AUACGGAGGGUGCAAGCGUUAAUCGGAAUUACUGGGCGUAAAGCGCGCGUAGGCGGAUUAGUAAGUCGGAUGUGAAAGCCCUGGGCUCAACCUGGGAAUUGCAUUCGAUACUGCUUGACUAGAGUAUGGUAGAGGGAAGUGGAAUUUCCGGUGUAGCGGUGAAAUGCGUAGAUAUCGGAAGGAACACCAGUGGCGAAGGCGACUUCCUGGCCCAAUACUGACGCUCAGGUGCGAAAGCGUGGGGAGCAAACAGGAUUAGAAACCCGGGUAGUCC